rnacentral:sRNA from 22 species
GCAUGCCGGGUGACAACCGGCCGCAAUGGGGAACGGCGGACGCAGCUGAUUUUGCCGGUUUCUGGCUGCGACAUCAACGUAUUGGUGCGCGCUGACGCCUAACCUGUUCCCGGC